AGGCACAUUCACCCACACAAAUAAAUACAGCUGGAAGAUUUCUCAGAACAAGCUGUUCUGGUAAGAAGACAUACCAGCCCUGUGAUCCAGCAACUCUUAACCUGGAAGCAAUACCACCUUGGGGAUAUGCGUGGGCAAUUUUCCACAUUGCUGCACUGGAACAGAUUGGAUUAGGGUGGAGCAAGACCCGAAGCAAAUGUUGUGGUAAUCUACAGAAUAUUUCCUUUCCUUUGUUUGAUCUGAUGCCUUGAGACUUCAUGGGAUCUGCAGUUAAUGUCAGGACUUCUACAGCAACUCCUUCCCAAUGUAUACCACUGAGCCACCAUUUCUGCUGGGCCUGUCCUGCUGGUGAGACUGAAAAUGCUUGACAACGUCCUGGACAUCGUCAGCCUGUAUAAUUCCACGUGUAUGACUCCAACAGAAUAUCACUUGACUAAUCUGUGAGGCAGCUCUCUCAAUUUGGUACUAAACCCCAGAUGUCAGUACAGAGGACUUUGCAGAGAUAAUAAAUCUGUGUUUUGCUUCUGAUGUGUAGCUCAAUGCCGGGUGGCCUGUGCAGUUUAAUUUUUUUUAAGACUAUCUAACAACUGUUACAAGCGAUUGCUAGGCCAUUUCAACAGGCAGGUAAGAAUGAACCAUCUCCUCUGUAUUAAACAGAAGUACUGAGGGCAGCAAAGGCACAGAAUGUAUUCACAGUGGACUCAGUGAAACUUGUCAGGUGAAUGUAAUUAUUUUCUUGACUUCUUUCCCAUCAUCUCAGUUCCUAUUUACAACUAUUCUGGGACGUUUUUGUACUCAAUAGUGAAGAUUUUGUUUGAACUCAGACCUGGUAAAAAGUAUUAUGUUAUCGGAUGCUGAAGUACUUUUCCUACAGUGCAAUCUGACACUUCAAAAGAAUUUCACCAGCCAAGAAACACUUUGGACAGCCUAAGGUGAUGAAAGGUACUACAGAAUGUCAAUCUUUUCUUCAAGGCAGCAUGAGCUCUCAAACUACUCAAUGCCUUCUCCAUGGAGAGACAGUGUCACCCGUUUGGUCCCCUGACUUUAUGGAUCUGCCAAAAGAUUAUAAAUUGAUAUUUAUUCAAGAAAUGCAACCUACCUAACUGCUUCAUGUUAGUAUUGAAGUCAAUACUUGUGACAGUAUCACGAUGACCUUUAAAGUGC